GCCUAGUUAGCUAAGUUGGUAGUGCGUCUGCCUUGUAAGCACUACUUAGGCCGUGGGUUUGAUUCCCGCCCAGGGCG
rfam:Asian citrus Psyllid, Diaphorina citri - Florida Strain, whole genome shotgun sequence.